rnacentral:rRNA from 1 species
AUGAAGGCUAACUGGAUCAUCCUCAUCCACCAAUCCGGUAGUCCGUGGCAUCUCGUGGAUAUCUACACCCAGCGAGAGAUCACCCUUCCAUCGUUGGAUACCGCCGCCAUCGAGCCUCGCGGCCCGCCGAACACUCCUGGCUACUACGCACGAGACGCGUCAAGCUUUUGGCUCGACCUCUGUUUGCUGAAAGUUGUAAUCUGCAAAGUGCCCACACCAUCAGAAGACUACAUGGAUUACAAGCUCAUUGCCUUGUUCAACAUGGGAUUAGUCUAUCUGGAAUCCGGUCAUCAUACAUGGUUAUGGCUCAUCGUCAAUCCUGUUGAGGCAACAUUUCUGUCUGAUGCUAUAGUGCACGAUGGCAUCAUUUACGUGGUCGACGCACAGAUUGGCUGCCUAUACUGGUGGAAUCUAUCAUCAGUUGAUAUGAGAACAGUAGUAUACCAUAUAACUGGAAUUAACCGAUGCAAGUUGAAGAAGGAUUGGACGGUGCUGCCGGCUGGCGUCAAGUUCGAUCCCACGGAGCAGGAGCUCAUUAAGCACCUUGAGGCCAAAGUGAGUGCUGACAGCGCGAGAUCUCACCCUCUCGUCGAUUUGUUCAUACGAACCAUCGACAGCGAGCACGGCAUAUGCUACACCCAUCCCGAGAGACUUCCAGAUGCAGACCUGGUGAAGCAAUUACAAUUUGACAGUUAA